rnacentral:lncRNA from 1 species
UGGCAAGAAGCCUCCCAUGCAGGAUGAAGCCAAGGAAGAAGAGAAGAGAGGAAGGACACGCCCAUUAACCAAAGGACCCAAAACAUAUCUCAAGGAGCUCAUGAAGUCAUCCUCAUGCACACAGUUUCCCAGGUGUCAGAUCUGUUUGAUUCAAAAAUGUGCUCCCCUCUACUUCCAGGACAAUCUCUCUAAGACAAGAAUCUGACUGCCUUACUCAUAUUGUAAAGUUAAGUUAGUGAACCACCAUUGUUCUAAGGGAAAACAUUCUAAAUUCCUCAUGAUCUGGCCCCUGCUUCUAUUUCCAGCCAACUUCUUACCGCCCACUUCUUUGUGCUCUACUCCAACUAUAUUCUGCCUAGCGUUUGAAAAUACUGCUUUUUCCAUCUAAAAUAAUAACUUCCUUUUACUGAUAACACUGACCUAGGCAGAGUCCUAAGAAGGUGGCCUGUAUAUCCUCUAGGGCCACAAACCUAAGAAGAACAUCAUGUGAGGAUGAAGGCAGAGAGCAGGGUGAUGCAGCUGAAGCCAAGGACACUGAAGACUUCCUGCAAACCCCCAGAAGCUGGGGCAGAGGCCCUCCAGUCUCCAGAAGAGGCCAACCAUGCUGAUACCUUGACCUUGGACUCCUAGCCCCAGAACUAUGAGAAAUAAAUUUCUGUUAUUUAAGUC